rnacentral:rRNA from 1 species
AGCUCACUGGUCGAGUCGGCCUGCGCGGAAGAUGUAACGGGGCUAAACCAUGCACCGAAGCUGCGGCAGCGACGCUGAUGCGUUGUUGGGUAGGGGAGCGUUCUGUAAGCCUGCGAAGGUGACCUGUGAGGGUUGCUGGAGGUAUCAGAAGUGCGAAUGCUGACAUAAGUAACGAUAAAGCGGGUGAAAAGCCCGCUCGCCGGAA